GACGAACCGUACGAACGUUAUUCGGAAUUACUGGGCUUAAAGGGUGUGUAGGCGGGCUGUUAAGUCAGUGGUGAAAUCUCCGGGCUCAACCCGGAAACUGCCAUUGAUACUAUCAGUCUUGAAUACCGUUGAGGUGGGCGGAAUAUGUCAUGUAGCGGUGAAAUGCAUAGAUAUGACAUAGAACACCAAUUGCGAAGGCAGCUCACUAAACGGUCAUUGACGCUGAGGCACGAAAGCGUGGGGAUCAAACAGG
rnacentral:rRNA from 1 species